rnacentral:rRNA from 1 species
ACCCGCUGAACUUAAGCAUAUCAGUAAGCGGAGGAAAAGAAACUAACAAGGAUUCCCCUAGUAACGGCGAGCGAAGCGGGAAGAGUUCAAAUUUAAAAUCUGGGCGGCUUUGCCACUCUGAAUUGUAAUUUAAAGAGACGUUAUCUGGAUCUAGUCUAAAGCUCAAGUCCCUUGGAAUAGGGCGUCACAGAGGGUGAGAACCCCGUCUGGGCAUUGGGCUAGAUUCUAUAUGAGGCGUCCUCUACGAGUCGAGUUGUUUGGGAAUGCAGCUCAAAAUGGGUGGUAAAUUUCAUCUAAGACUAAAUACUGGCAAGAGACCGAUAGCGAACAAGUACCGUGAGGGAAAGAUGAAAAGCACCUUGAAAAGGGAGUUAAAUAGUGCGUGAAAUUGUUAAAAGGGAAACGAUUGAGAUCAGUAUUACUGUUGACUGUUCAAACGUCGCUUUUGUGACGUCUACUCAGUCAGCAGUGAGUCAGCAUCAGUUUGGGCUUCCGGAGAGAGGCUAGAGGAAGAUGGGGUUGUCCUUCGGGGCCACUCUUUAUAGACUCUAGCUGGCACGAGGAGCCUGGACUGAGGUGUGCGGCCGUAGUACUCAUCGGUUGAGCCUGUCCCCCACUGGGUAAAGACUGCACGCAGACUUUACCCGCAAGGGACAGAGGUAGAUUGAUGCAUACGGUUCGAGGAUGCUGACGAAAUGGUCUUAAACGACCCGUCUUGAAACACGG